GUGGAAAGGCCUCAGUAUAGCCUCGGUCUCUCCUGGAAACUGUGUCGGGAUUUUGAGUCUCUGUGCUUGUGAAUUCUGUUUUGGAUAAUAUUGGUGCAAUUGUUGGACAAAAUGACUUGCUGUGGUAUUAAUUGCACUAAUAGAGCGUCCAAGGAGUCUCCACUUCAUUUUUUUCGGGAAGGACCUGAUUGGUGUCCAGAACCUGCUGAAGAAGCACCAGGCUCUGCAGGCUGAGAUCACAGGUCAUGAACCUCGCAUCAAGGCUGUCACCCAGAAAGGAGAGACCAUAAUGGAGGAAGGUCACUUCGCUGGUUCAGAACCCUCGGCCCGUCAGAACAUUCUUAUCCACCACGUUCUAACACCAGACCUGUUAACCCAACAGCAACAAGUGGCUCCAACUGACGAUGAGACCGGGAAGGAGCUGGUUCUGGAUCUGUACGACUACCAGGAGAAGAGUCCUGGAGAGGUCACCAUGAAGAAGGGCGACAUCCUCACGCUGCUCAACAGCACCAACAAGGUUGUUUUACUUGAACUCGCGUCUUUAGCUGAAUGAGGAUGGAGAGGCGGGUCGGACCUGGAGCAGGUCGAGGUCUUGCAGAAGAAGUUUGACGACUUCCAGAAGGACCUGAAGGCCAACGAGUCCCGCCUGAGGGACAUCAACAAGGUGGCAUGUGAACUGGAGUCAGAAGGUCUGAUGGCUGAGGAGGCUCCUAUGGUUCAGGCUCAGCAACAAGAACAUCUGGGUUCUGCUCCUGGAAAGGAUGAAGCCGUCUCUAACCCCGGCUUUCCACAGGAGUCGUCAGCAGCACGUUACUGCAGCAGCACGUCAUAGCUGCUGAUAGGAACCGCUGUGGUCAACAGAACCUUUUCCACCGGAGCCGUCAGCAGCGCGAGUCGGCCACGUCUCAGGAGCAGCAUGUCGCGGCCCUUACGCGCCGGUUCUAUUUUCUACGCCUCUGAAACGGGUCAAGUUCGACAUUUUUGGGGAAGGAAAGACAGGAAAUCAGACGCGGAAAUUGAGAGAAGCUACCGAGAUUUUCAGAAUAAAGAACGUACUGCCUUCCGGUUGCUUUAAUUUUAAAAACAGUUACUAACUGUGCGGCCCCGUGAGAAGUUAUCACCUAGCUAGCGGUCUCCUUUGUUUUUCAGGUCCGUAUUGGCGAUUAUAAAACGGACAGAACAUAAAACACAAACCAUGUUGUAGUUUUGUCCUGCUUGUUGUUGUGUUUACUGACGAAGUCACUCGAGUGACUUCGUGCUCGGUCGGUGACAGCUGCUCCCCUGCUGCUUCGCGUCUCGUGGGAAGGGCCAAGCAGCAGCUUACGCGAGCAAGACGUGCUGCUGCAGUAACGUGCUGCUGACGGCUCCCGUGGAAACCCGGGGUAACACGGCGUCACCCUAGAAGGUGAGUUCAUUCAGCUGAUCAGAGGUCACCUCUGAUGGCCGCAGUCACGGCCGACCGUGCUGAAAUCACACAGGAAUUCAGGUGACCCGGCAGGCACCAGGUGCUGGUGAAAGUGGGGACAUGUCAGCUGGUUGCCAUGGCUACAGUUAUCUUUAUGCAUCUGUAUGACUGCUGACUGGUGUGUUUCCUGUGACCUUUGACCUCAGACCGUACGGUUGGGCGUUCAGACGACGGCUAACUUUAAUUCCAUCAAGGAGCUGAACAACCGCUGGCGCUCGCUGCAACAUGCUGGGCAGCGCCCAUGAGGUGCAGCGCUUCCACAGAGACGCUGAUGAGACCAAAGAGUGGAUCGAGGAGAAGAACCAGGCCCUGAACACAGACAACUACGGCCACCACCUGGCCAGCGUUCAGGCUCUGCAGCGUGAACAUGAAGGCUUUGAGCGUGACCUGGCAGCUCUGGGUGAUAAGGUCCGCUUUCCUGAUCGGUACCAGGACCCGAGUUGUCUCUGGAGACACGUUCUUCAUGGUUCUGGUGACUCCACCCCAGCCGUUCCUGAUCAGCGAUCAGCGGGGUGCUUUCCUAUUUAAGGUGGAUGGAGGACAAAAUUUGACGCCAGAAGAUUGCCUCAGUUUUGGAUUCCUGUCGACCUCAUUGGAUACUGACCUCUACUCCAGGAUUUGGAUAUUCAACACACGGACCUUAUCACCAGCCUCCAUAACCCACCUCUCAUCUCACCCGUUGCCCCAUCCACCAGGACGCCCCGCUUCUCUCCACCUCUGCUCCCUCUCCUGCGCUUCCCCCGGCUCUCUACCUCUCCCUCCUCCAGCCAACACAUACACCCACCACAGUAAGUCUGCUGAACACCUCUGCCUGCCUACAAUGGAUUUUGAAACCAGAACCUAAGCUCACCUGUGUUCUCCCUCCUCCAGAUGCUGAGCUGUUGUUGCAGUUCCAACCACAGACUUAUCUGUGCACCUUAAGUUCCUCCUUAUAAAUAAAUCAUUUUUUCCAUCAGUUUUUGGUCAGUGUUGUAUUCUGCAUGUCUUGGGUUAAGUACCUUCCUCCAAACAUGACACUCCUCCUCAAAGAGCAAAUCUGUUCAGCACAUUCUGACAGACAGACCACCAUUCUUCUGUCAUGAUGCUGUACAGGACAUUUUUAGAGUUUUUCUUUUUAAAUAUAAAUAGGAUUACAUUUAAAUAGCAAUACUUUCACAUUAUCAUUUUCCCACACUUCUGUAUAACUGUAUUUUGUUGUUUUUCAAUAAAGAAUGACAAACUAUUUAAGUUUGGA